rnacentral:rRNA from 1 species
GAUGAACGCUGGCGGCGUGCUUAACACAUUCAAGUCGAACGGAGUAAGGGGCUUCGGUCCUUUACUUAGUGGCGGACGGGUGAGUAACGCGUGAGCAAUCUACCUUCGGGUGAGGGAUAACAACCGGAAACAGUUGCUAAUACCUCAUGACAUAUAGACUUCGCAUGGGGUUUAUAUCAAAGGCUUGCUGCCCGAAGAUGAGCUUGUGUCUGAUUAGGUAGUUGGUGAGGUAACGGCCCACCAAGCCGACGAUCGGUAGCCGGACUGAGAGGUUGAACGGCCACAUUGGAACGGAGAUGCGGUCCAGACUCCUACGGGAGGCAGCAGUGGGGAAUAUUGGGCAAUGGGCGAAAGCCUGACCCAGCGACGCCGCGUGAGGGAAGAAGAUCUUCGGAUUGUAAACCUUAGUCAACAGGGAAGAAGAAAGUGACGGUACCUGUGGAGGAAGCCACGGCUAACUACGUGCCAGCAGCCGCCGCCGUAA